AGUGGCGCACGGGUGAGUAACGCGUAAGUGAUCUACCCCUGUAUCUGGGAUAACUGUGGGAAACUGCAGCUAAUACCGGAUACGUUCAUGUUCUUGCGAGUAUAUGAAGAAAGAUGGCCUCUGAUUCAAGCUAUUGUACAGGGAGGAGCUUGCGUACCAUUAGCUAGUUGGUAGGGUAAUGGCCUACCAAGGCAACGAUGGUUAGCGGGUCUGAGAGGAUGAUCCGCCACACUGGAACUGAAACACGGACCAGACUCCUACGGGAGGCAGCAGUGAGGAAUAUUGCGCAAUGGGGGCAACCCUGACGCAGCGACGCCGCGUGGAUGAUGAAGGCCUUCGGGUCGUAAAAUCCUGUCAGAUGGGAAGAAGUGUGCGAUGGCUAAUACCUGUUGCAUUUGACGGUACCAUCAGAGGAAGCACCGGCUAACUCCGUGCCAGCAGCCGCGGUAAUACGGAGGGUGCAAGCGUUGUUCGGAAUUACUGGGCGUAAAGCGCGCGUAGGCGGUUUGUUAAGUCAGAUGUGAAAGCCCACGGCUCAACCGUGGACGUGCAUUUGAAACUGGCAGACUUGAGUAUUGGAGGGGGUGGUGGAAUUCCCGGUGUAGAGGUGAAAUUCGUAGAUAU
rnacentral:rRNA from 1 species